rnacentral:misc_RNA from 1 species
AGGGCACAUAACAAGUAAGAUAUCUGACCAAGAAUUAAUAACAAAUCGGACUGUAAUGAGAAACUAGCACACUAAAGAACACUCAAAUACUCAUUUUUACUGCCUCUAUCAUACCACUUGACAUGGCAUAAUUUUAUUCAUCAUAAUCAAAAGUCAAAAGCUGCCAUUAAUUCUCAGGGUGGAGAGUGCUAUUGAUGAGCCAAUAUAAUUGUGACACAUCAGAAGGAACAAUUGAACAGUAUCUGUAGCACUACUCCAAACAAACAAUAAAAUAAAUAAUGAGAAACCCAGUACUGCAUUUUAUUUAGGAAUUUUAAUUAU